rfam:TPA: Bos taurus chromosome 18, whole genome shotgun sequence.
UCUGUGGUGGCUUAGAUGGUAAAGAAUCUGCCUGCAAUGCAGGAGACCCAGGUUUGAUCCCUGGGUCAGAGAG